AGGACGAACGCUGGCGGCGUGCUUAACACAUGCAAGUCGAGCGGAAAGGCCCUUCGGGGUACUCGAGCGGCGAACGGGUGAGUAACACGUGAGCAACCUGCCCUUAGCUCCGGGAUAGCUCCGGGAAACCGGAAUUAAUACCGGAUACAACACCGGCCGACAUCGGCCGGUGUGGAAAGAAUUUCGGCUAGGGAUGGACUCGCGGCCUAUCAGCUAGUUGGUGGGUAAAGGCCUACCAAGGCGACGACGGGUAGCCGG
rnacentral:rRNA from 1 species